GAGGGUAUAGCUUAGUAGUGAAGUGCAUGCCUAGCAUGCACGAGGUCCUGGGUUCAAUCCCCAGCACAUCCA
rfam:Camelus ferus unplaced genomic scaffold scaffold2237, whole genome shotgun sequence.